GUGCCACCUCUUUCUCAAAACAAAAGGCCUCUUCGUAUCAGAUGAAAGAAACAGAGUGACUGGUACAAACGAAGAGGGAGAGAGCAGAAGAGAAAUAAAGAGUGAGAACAGAGAGAAGAAAGAGCGAGAAAGAGGGAUUCUGAAGAUCCCGAGCCGGCUCCGGAGACCGGCCCCCAGCGCAUGCUCGCCUCCCAGCCAUAGAAGGGAAGAUGUAGAAACCCUCGGAUUUUUAGUCAGAUCGGGUCAUGUUUGGUAUUCACAACGGUCGUGGUGGUAGGGAUGUGGCCAGCGACGUGGAUUAUUUGUUCUUCGUCAUGGCUUGUUCAAGGAGUUAUGCUGUCAAGAUGCUUUCUGGUGGUCUAUACAUUUGUGGGUUUUGUUUGAAAAUCAAGAAAGAUACGGUCUUGAUUCAGGUUGUGAUGAUCAAUUUAAACAGCUACCGAAACAAAGAUUUGACUAGAUGGAUCAUGGAUGGAAAGAAUAGUGUGGGACCCACGUCAGUCCGUUUCGAGACCAAAAAUUCUUCUUGAUCUACAAGAUGAAAAUAUGCGUUUUGAAAUUUUGGAUAACAAGGACGGUGAGCAUCUUCAGCUUCAUGCUUGAGCCAUGCUCACAACUCAGUCUGCUAACUUAGCUGCUGUUGGGAAUUCAUUCGAGCUACAUGGUGGUUAUGGAGGUUAUAUGGCAUGGAGAGGCUUCUCAAAGUGUCUUCCUCCUUGAAAGAGCUUCAAACGAGGUGUUCGAGGGUCUACAGAUCUGAAAAUUUUCUCUGGAAAUCAAACCACCACUCACGACGAGGAAGAAUGACAUGUGGGUGUGUGUUUCGUCCAUCAGAGACGAAGAACGACCCAUUUGUGCGGCGAGGAAGAACCAUUGUCAACCGGAUUCCUUCACUAUAUACCCCGGGCCACUGGAUCUGAAACUGAACCACCCGUUUGUGUGUUUAUAUACACAUGUUUUACCUCACCAGGUGUUCAAAAACCUCGAUCAUUUGACCAGGUCUUUGAAUUAAUGAAGAAGUAGGAAGAGACUAAACCGACGGAGUUAGCAACGAAGAUAAAGCAAUACGCUAAACCCUGUAGUUUUUGUAUCUCAUUGGUUUGUGCUGUGUUUUGCUGCAGUUUUUGAAGACAAAAACCCCAUGAUUCUAUCAAAAUACAGUCGGUGGAAGAGACCUAUGGCUAUUAUGAUCCAAUGGUUAUAAACGGUUUUUCAAUUUUAAAUUAUUUAACUUUAUUGUAACCUAAAUCAGUUAACUCCUGUUCAAAAAAAAAAAAACUUGUAACCGAAAUCAGUUAACUCUUAUCAAAAUAAAAAUUUUGCAAGAAUUAGGAUAA